UAUCUGAUUUCUGAAUGUUUUUUAGUAGGCUUAAUUAAGGUUAUGGUUGGUAGAAUAAGUUUAUGUACUUGCAAAUUUGCUUAUAGUGAGUAGAAUGUCUGUUGGGGAACCAUCAAAAUAGUGUUAGCA